GCCCCCUUGUCUCCUUCUUCUUUCUUAUCCUUGCCACACUACUCCAGGUCGCCUGACAGAGCGGCUCCGAGGUUUUGAUGCUAGCAGGUGUCGGGAAAGAAGGCCACCAAAUGGAUAUCUCCUGACGAGCAGACCUAGUGAGCAGAGCCGUGAUCUUCUUUGUCAGCCACCUUGACACUGGAACAGGCUGGAAGGGUGCAGCAGAGGCCCCCAGGUAGCUGAGAUGUUCAUGGAAUCUUCCUGUUUGGUACAUUCACUAUCGCUUGUGUUAUGGUGCCGGGUAAGGGUGGGAGUGAGCAGACAUGUCCAAGUGCACUGCUCUCCUCUACCGCACAGUGAAGCAUUACUUCUGAAAGUAAAGAGAAACAUGUUUGAACCAUUAGUGAGUGUAAUGUAGAAAGAGUAUUUCAUUUGAUAAAAGAACACAGCUUUCCUGCUAAUAAAAUGCUUUAAAAAUUAGUGUAUGGUUUUUAGUAAUUAGCAUAUAAAUUUUUAUCAACUGGUUCAUA